AGAGUUUGAUCCUGGCUCAGAACGUACGCUGGCGGCACGCCUAACACAUGCAAGUCGAACGAAGUAGCAAUACUUAGUGGCAGACGGGUGAGUAACAUGUAGGUAUCUGCCCUUUGGCCUGGAAUAACACGAGGAAACUUGUGCUAAUACUGGAUAAGUCUUUACGGAGAAAGCUUUAUGCACCAUUGGAUGAGCCUGCACUUGAUUAGUUUGUUGGUGGGGUAAUGGCCUACCAAGACUAUGAUCAAUAGCUGAUUUGAGAGGAUGAUCAGCCACAUUGGGACUGAGACACGGCCCAAACUCCUACGGGAGGCAGCAGUGGGGAAUCUUGCACAAUGGAGGAAACUCUGAUGCAGCGAUGCCGCGUGAGUGAAGAAGGCCCUUGGGUUGUAAAGCUCUUUCGUCGGGGAAGAAAAUGACUGUACCCGAAUAAGAAGGUCCGGCUAACUUCGUGCCAGCAGCCGCGGUAAUACGAAGGGACCUAGCGUAGUUCGGAAUUACCGGGCUUAAAGAGUUCGUAGGUGGUUGAAAAAGUUGGUGGUGAAAUCCCAGAGCUUAACUCUGGAACUGCCAUCAAAACUUUUCAGCUAGAGUAUGAUAGAGGAAAGCAGAAUUUCUAGUGUAGAGGUGAAAUUCGUAGAUAUUAAAAAGAAUACCAAUUGCGAAGGCAGCUUUCUGGAUCAUUACUGACACUGAGGAACGAAAGCAUGGGUAGCGAAGAGGAUUAGAUACCCUCGUAGUCCAUGCCGUAAACGAUGUGUGUUAGACGUUGGAAAUUUAUUUUCAGUGUCGCAGCGAAAGCGAUAAACACACCGCCUGGGGAGUACGACCGCAAGGUUAAAACUCAAAGGAAUUGACGG
rnacentral:rRNA from 1 species